rnacentral:rRNA from 1 species
UGAGGAAUAUUGGGCAAUGCCCGCAAGGGUGACCCAGCAACGCCGCGUGGAGGAUGAAUGUCGUAAGAUUGUAAACUCCUGUUAGAGGGGAAGAAUAGUACCGGUUGGACCGGUAUAUGACUGUACCCUCAGAGAAAGCCCCGGCUAACUACGUGCCAGCAGCCGCGGUAAUACGUAGGGGGCAAGCGUUGUCCGGAUUUACUGGGUGUAAAGGGCGCGCAGGCGGGAUAAAAAGUCAGUGGUGAAAUCAACGGGCUCAACCUGUUAACGGCCAUUGAUACUGUGUAUCUUGAAUAUGAGAGAGGUAGGCGGAAUGUUGCAUGUAUCGGUGAAAUGCUUAGAUAUGCUACGGAACACCGAUUGCGAAGGCAGCUUACUAUUUCGUAAUUGACGCUGAGGCACGAAAGCGUGGGUAGCGAACA